GACACUAUUGGUACACUUCUUGAGAAGUCAUCAAGUUUUGGACGCUGUUGUCAGGGACUAUUGAUUUCAACAGGGCAACACUUUGUGCAACAUAUUUUAAUUUUCUUAUUUUUUAUUGAUUUUUAUUUAUUUCUUUAUUUAUCAUAGUGUACUGAGGUAUUUUCUAUAUUUGUAUGCGUAGGCCAAGAUCAUCAUUAUUACCAUUUGAUCCGGAAAUUGAAAGAACUCCGCGUGCUCUAAGAAAAGCAGCUAGAGA
rnacentral:lncRNA from 1 species